GGGAGCAUGGCGGAAUUGGUAGACGCAGCGGACUUAAAAUCCGUAGGCCGUAAAAGACUGUGGGGGUUCAAGUCCCCCUGCCCCCA
rnacentral:tRNA from 1 species